AUUAUAAGAAUAUUAAAAUAUUGAUAUGUAACUGUAUUUAAUUUGCAUAAGAUAAGUCUGUGGAUUGUAUUGCAGAUAUAUUUCAUUACUUCUUUAAGUUGUUGUUUUUGUGUGUUUUUUUUUUGGGGGGGGGGGGGGUUAUUUGUUUGAUUGUUUGUUGUUGGUCUUUUUUUUGGUGUUUGUUUUUUCAUGUGUAUUUUUUCUUCUUUUUAUUAUUUUUAUAUUUUUGCAUUUUUCCGUUUUAAUCUUUUGCUGUCUAUGCAUUUUUUGUUUAAACAUUUUUUCCCAUGCACCAUACUUGUAUUAUCAAUUUGAUUUCACAACGUUAUCUUGAUCUUGUUUAUAGAGAGAGGACAAAAAUAGACCAUGCCAGCUGUCCGAUCCUGUUUCAAUUUGAAAUAAUAAAAUAAAAUAAUGUUUAAACUU
rnacentral:sRNA from 1 species